rnacentral:lncRNA from 1 species
CCACUACAGGAAUGUGAAUGCCGCACUCGCACAGCUUUGCCUGGAGAGGGGCUUCGCUAUUCUGGAUAGCCUUGUGGACAGCUGGCCUGGAUUCCUGAGCAGGGAUGGUGUCCACCCCAGCCGGCUUGGCAACAAGGUGCUGGCAGACUUCCUGCACCGGGAGGCCUGUGCCUUGUCCACCCAUCUAGAGAGGAGACGCAUCCAACAGUCCUACAAGGAGUCCAAGGCAUCUGCAUAGAGUGGGUGGGCUCGGCAGGAGCACUUUGCCAUCAACUUGGAAGUCGAUUUUCCUGCACUUGGUCCAGUACAUUGUGGACUCACCCUGUUGUCAAGUCAUCAGGAAGUUGGAUGAUGCUGUCUUCUUCCAGCUAAAUUAUGCAACUACUAAGAAGGGGAUCAGAAUUCUAUUUUGUAGCAGUUAUUUUACAAAUAAAUGUUAGUAAAAUUUUU